CAGGUACUCCCUCCGUCCGAAAAAGCUUGUCCCAAGCUUGUUCCUCAAAUGGAUGUAUCUAGCAUUAACUUGGUGCUAGAUACAUCCAUUCAAGAGACAAGCUUUUUCGGACGGAGGGAGUACAUG
rfam:Triticum aestivum genome assembly, contig: Triticum_aestivum_CS42_TGACv1_scaffold_145993_2BS